GAUGAGCGCUGGCGGCGUGCCUAAUACAUGCAAGUAGAACGCUGAAGGAAGGAGCUUGCUCUUUCCGGGUGAGUUGCGAACGGGUGAGUAACGCGUAGGUAACCUGCCUGGUAGCGGGGGAUAACUAUUGGAAACGAUAGCUAAUACCGCAUAACAGUACAUGUUGCAUGAUAUCUACUUAAAAGGUGCAAUGGCCCCACUAACAGGUGGACCUGCGUUGUAUUAGCUAGUUGGUGAGGUAACGGCUCACCAAGGGGACCGUACAUAGCCGGCCUGAGGGGGUGGACGGCCAACCUGGGACUGGGACCAGGGCCAGGACCCUUAGGGGGGGCGCCGGAGGGAAAUAUCGGAAAUGGAGGGAAGUCUUACCGCGGAACGCCGGGGGAGGUGAGGAGGGUUUCGGGUCGUAAAGGUCUGUUGUAAGAGAAGAAAGAGUGUGAGGGUGGAACGUUCACGCUGUGACGGUAUCUUAAGAGAAAGGACCGGCUAACUACGUG
rnacentral:rRNA from 1 species